UUUCAAAUGGCUCCUUUUCCCCUCCCCCUCGGAAGCCCAAGGGGAUUCUGCUCAGAUAUUUACUGUGAGAACUCCACCAAGUUCUUGGAGGUAAAACUCACAUAAGUUUGGGGCCCUCCCUAAGACUUGGUCCCCCUGAAGUUUUUAACUUUCAGACUUGUCCACAUUGAGUCUUCUUUAAUUCAUUAAUCACAGUGCAGGUUUUCCUCCCCCUGCACUGGUUCCCACAGCAGUAUCCACUGAAGACUGCUCAGUUUUUUAGUUGUGGUUAGGACCACGUGGCGAUUUCCAAGCUCCUUAGAUGUGGAAGUGGAAACUACACUCCUGAGUUUCUUGCCUGGCUGGAGGCAUUUAUGAAUCUCCAGGUUUCCUGGGUCCCAGCUCCUGGUAACUGUUACUGAGCCCUAAAGGACCGGUGAACCGCAAGUGGGUCCUGUUGCCCAGAGCUGCUCGCGCCAGUAGGAGAGCGGGUUCAAGCAGCAGAGCGGAAACUUUAUUCGUUGAUCAAUGAAUGGAGGAGGCAGAGCUCAUGCUCUAAAAACACCUUCUCCUCAAAGGGAAGCUUGGAGGUGGAGAAAAGUGCCAGGGACAAGGCCAUGAAGAAUUUGUUUGGUGCCAGCCACAGGGGUGAAGGUGAGGUGAAGCCACACAUUCUUCAUCUCCAAGGAGCCAGGGUCCAGGAAGAGUCCAAGACCGGGCAUCCUCAUGCCACCCAAAACGAGCUCAUUAUGCCUAAGGAUUCAACUACCACCUGUAUUAUGCACGAUGACUCUCAAACCUAUACGUCCAUCCAGACCUCUCUGAUGAGCUGAGAACAUCUCCAACUACAUUCUCAACAGCCACACCAACUUGUGACCUCCCUGACCAAUCUGCUUCUCAAAGCUGAAACCCGGGCGUCCCUCACUUUGCAAUCCAAUGGUCACCAAGUCAUGUUAUCUGUCUCCUCCUUUGCACUUUACUUGGGGCCUUGAUUGCCUCUUUACUGGAUUAUUUUAACACUCUUUUUACUCAUCUCUUAGGACCCAAGCUUCUUCCUGCUUCAAGUCUAAGUUCUAAAAUAUGGCUAUGAUCACAUCAUCUUUCUCUUCUACUUCACAUCCUUCAAUGGUUUUCCAAUAACCUACAGGAUGAAGUUCUAAGUCCUCAGUAUGGUGAUCCAUGCCACUGAUGAUAUGACCCCACAUGGCCUCUCCAACCUCAUUUCUGACCACUUUGUAAUUGCUAUCUGGUGUUCCAGUAUCACAGAACAUUCACUGCACUUCCCUGAAUCCAUAAUGUGGUUUAACACUUGCUGUUGCCUUUGACUGGCAUGUCCUUCCCUACUGAUAUACCUGGAGACCACCCACCCUUCAACCCAAAGCUCAGGGCUUACUUCCUUGCUGAGAUGUUCUCUGACUCCUUCCCCUCAUCCUUUCCACGGCCCUUCCUCUUGGCUAUCACUGUGCCUUGCUUAUGCAUUUCUUUUUGUUCCUGUCUCGCAUGACUUUCUUUAUUCACGUAUCUGAAUCCCAUCUUUGUGUCUUAUCAUCUUUGUGUCAUGAGUACUUAACACGAGGCCCUCACAAUAGACACGCCUAAUGAUAUUUCUGAAUGAACAAAUGAAUGAAUGAAGGAGCCAUGCUAGACAGAUGGCAUCUGUCCUAUUUAUGAUCAAAAUUACCCCCAAGGAGUUGUAAUUCUUUGAUGAGUUUCUCAUUCCUCUCUUCAAAUAAGUUUCUAUCUUCCGCCAGCUGCUGAAGCUCUUUGAAUGCUUUAAAAUGCAGAAUUCAAAAUUGGCUGCCAAGAAAUGCCACUUCAUUUCCUUUCUAGAAUAGCAUAAUUUUCCCCAUGGCCCAGGCAAAACAGCAACCCUUGGCUAAUGUUUCAUAAAAAGGGAUUUUUUUCAGGGAAAAGGGGUUAACUAGAGAGGAAUUUAUCUUGGCUCAUUUCCGCCAUGUUUGCUCCCUAGGUGUUCCUGUCCAGGUGUGAGGACUCUUUCCUGUCUAGACACAGGGGCGGGUCAUUCCAGGUCAGGCUUUUAAUCUGAUGGUGACCCCACCUCAGGAAGUGCCAGGACCCUGUGAACCUUGCAGGCUCCCACAAUGUAGUCAUAGAUCUAGGUGAGGACCACAAUUUACAAGGCGUUUCUCUCUCCAACAGAGAGCAGAUUAGUCAUCUUUCUAAAAAUAGAAGGAGCAGGCACACAGGGGCACUUAUCUUCACUGGGAGCCCAGCCAGCAAAGCCCGUAGACCGACUGGAAGAGUUGGGUUAAGAUGAGCC
ensembl:lncRNA